rnacentral:lncRNA from 1 species
GACAGGUGCCCCACGGCCUGCUGCUUGCCUGUGCAGACGACAGGCCUCUGUUUGAAGGGCACCUGAAGGACGGCUGAGCCUGGUAAGAUGCCUUCUUUCGGAGAAGCUCUCCAGGCUGGUUUCCGUUUGAAGGGCUGGUAAAAGAAGCUGAUAAUCUAGGCACUCGCCAGCAAAGUACCUGCUUUGAGAAGACGGGGGGUACCUUUCUCCGCCUGUUUCUUGCCCCUGGAACCUCCGACCUUCCAAAGGGCCUCAGAACAGGAAUCGCCGCACCAAAUACGCAUUGAAGACUCGAAUGGAUUAAUCUAUAGAACCAUCCAAUUAACCAAACUUAUAAACCCUCCUUGUAAGAGUGGCGAAGAUGCACUUCGAAAGACAUGAAUAUGUGAUGCGCCACGUGGAACUCAGUCGGCCUGUGUGUUCUGAAGGAAGGGGCUGAACCCUGAAGAAAUGCAUAGGAACACAUCACAGGAGCCAUGUUGCAACAAGUCCAACCCCAUAAAGUCAAC